rnacentral:lncRNA from 1 species
CUGAUCGACAUCAACAAACAUUUCUCCCCAACACCCAGGACACACAACACAUGAUGCCACAUCUGUUGUGUGACUCCCAUGCAGUCUCGUAGGUCUGUCUCGUCCCCUGGCAGAAACUUUUAUCUAUGGUGUCAGUUUUAAUGAGACCGAGCAUCACUUUCUGUAUUGGCUUCACGCCAGAGUCCGCGGAGCUGUGGGUGGGAAUGAUCGUGGAUCUAUCCGUUUUCUUCUGUUGGAGCGCUCGGAACAGUGGCGGGCACAGCCUACACCGGUAGCGACGCAGACGCAGUCCCGCAAUAAGCGAGAAAAGUGUAACUGCCUCAAGACAGACAGAAUGCGUGUUCUGUUGAGUGUCCUGUACCCGGUGCUUUCAAUCACGGUCUUCGGAUUAUAUCCGUCAAUGACCAUCGGGUCUAAGCAGGGUUGGCUGGUGUACAGCUCAGCUCAGGAUACUGACGGUCGGUGUAUCUGCACAGUGGUGGCUCCUGAACAGAACCUCUGCUCCAGAGACGCCAAGGGAAGACAGCUCCGCCAGCUACUGGAGAAGGUGCAGAACAUGUCCCAGUCCAUUGAGGUGUUGAACCUGCGGACCCAGAGGGACUUCCAGUACGUCAUGAAGAUGGAGAAUCAGAUGAAAGGGCUCCAGACCACGCUCAGACAGAUAGAAGACGACAGGAAGACCAUUAUAACCAGGAACUUCCAGGUACAGAACAUUACAGCACUAGUAUACAUUAAAAACCUGUCCAUGGUGCUCACAGCUAUUCAGGAGGAGAUGGGGGCAUACGACUAUGACGAGCUCUACCAGAGGGUCCUCAGACUGGACAGCAGGCUGCACAACUGCAUGGGCAAACUCACAUGUGGGAAAUUAAUGAAAAUCACUGGACCUGUAACAAUAAAGACAUCUGGCACCCGGUUUGGAGCAUGGAUGACUGACCCACAGGCCUCUCAGAGAAACAACAGGGUCUGGUACAUGGACAGCUACACCAACAGUAAGAUUGUACGUGAGUACAAGACCAUGGACGACUUUGUAGCUAACGUGGUGUCUCGAACCUACAACCUCCCAUUUAAAUGGGAGGGAACCGGUCACGUGGCGUACAAUGGGUCUCUGUAUUACAACAAGUACCAGAGUAACAUCAUCGUCAAGUACAGUUUUGAGACGGGUCGGGUGCUGGCUCAGCGGGCUCUGGAGUACGCCGGCUUCCACAAUACCUACCCUUACUCCUGGGGAGGAUACUCCGACAUCGAUGUCAUGGCCGACGAACUGGGCAUGUGGGUAGUGUACGCAACCAAUCAGAAUGCGGGAAAUAUCGUCAUCGCCCAGAUGGACCCGGACACCCUGGAAGUCCGGAAGACGUGGAACACGGAAUAUUCCAGACGGAACGCGGGGGAAUCCUUUAUGAUCUGCGGAACACUCUACAUCACCAACUCUCACCUGACGGGUGCUAAGGUCUACUACGCGUACUCCACCAAGACCUCCAGCUAUGAGUACACAGACAUCCCUUUCCACAACCAGUACUUUCACAUCUCCAUGCUGGCCUAUAACUCCAGGGAGAGGCACCUCUAUGGCUGGAACAAUGGACACCAGGUGCUGUUCAAUGUCACUCUGUUCCACGUCAUCAAAACCCAAGACGACUCCUAGAGGACACGGGAGAUGAAAUGUCACAAGUCCUCAUAUGGACACCGUAGAAAUGACAACAGCAACUUUCCAAGGCAAAGCGCCAUCAUUUGUGAUAUAAAAUGGGACCUUGUUGCUUACAACCUUGUUCAUGUUUUUCCUCACCUCCUCCCUAAAGUGAACUGCUCUGUCAUUACGUUGCCAUUACUUGAAGAAAUUGCCCUUUUUUGUAUUUUCUGGGCCAGAACACUUGAGGUGACUUGAACACAGACAGAAUGUCAUAUAUCCUAUUUCUCCUCUCUUCUUCUUUUUUUAUUUUCCCAUCUCUGCUGAAAUAGGAGUUUACUUUAUGGCCUUAUUUACUGCUGUCUUUACGUUCUCUAUGAUCCUCUUCUUUUCCCAUCUCUGCUGAAAUAGGAGUUUACUGUAUGGCCUUAUUUACUNUUACUGCUGUCUUUAGGUUCUCUAUGAUCCUCUUCUUUUCCCAUCUCUGCUGAAAUAGGAGUUUACUGUAUGGCCUUAUUUACUGCUGUCUUUACAUUCUCUAUGAUCCUCUUCUUUUCCCAUCUCUGCUGAAAUAGGAGUUUACUGUAUGGCCUUAUUUACUGCUGUCUUUAGGUUCUCUAUGAUCCACGGACUCUUGAUAGAUAUGUGCAUGAAUGUCUGACAUUUUGUCUGCUGUAAUUUACGAUGAUAUAGUGUAUUUUCAAUGUUUCCGUUCCAGAUGUCCUUCAGUUCUCACAGUGUUUGUAGUGACGUCUAUUGAUAGUAUUUAAACCUAGUUUGAGGUCCUCUCCAGAGUAUUUGCUGCCAUGUUACAUGAACAGUCUGAUUAUGGAAAACAUUGUGGUAACAAUUGUAUGUCUCUAUGCGAAAGCUAAGUAAACAUUUUGUUUGUUAUAAAAUACUGUAUCAAAAGUGUA